AUGACCACGCCGACGAGCGGCGUUGCGCCGGCGCCGUCCCGUGCUACCGCCGCACCGUCAAAGCUCCCAAAUGCGUCAGAGGCGAAGAAAAGAAAAAUAUCCGCGAAGAAGAAGGCGGCGGACGGUUCCGGCACCUCGAAGAAGAAGAAGCUUGCAGGGCGGCGGACGGCUCCGGCGUCUACCGAAGCGCCGGCGAGCUCAAUAGUUGAGCCGGCGGCCGACGCGCACCACGUGCUCGACGAGAUGCCCACAAGUCUCAACGAUGAUGCAUACAUGUCAACUAUGGGUGUUGGGUCCAACAAUUCGCAUUGGUCUCAAACCAAUGAAACCCAUUUGGACGACCAUGAGUUUGAGGUGGACGAGGAGGGUGAGGGCAUUGUCGAGGCGCCGAAAGGAAGAGCGGGCAAUUACACCAUCAAUGAUGACAAAUUACUAUGCAAUACUUGGUUGCAAGUGUCGAGGGAUCCAUCUGUUGGAGGUGAUCAAAGUAGAGAUGCUUAUUGGGGGCGAAUGAAAGAACACUUUGAUGCUCAGAACAUGAGUGGAAUUGACCGCUCCGAGAGAUCACUUCGGUCCCGAUGGUCGACAAUCAACUCGGAAUGUCAAAAGUGGGCGGCCGCACAAAAGGCAGUUGACAAGCUUAACCCAAGUGGGACAAAUGAGGAUGAUAGAUACAACAUUGCACAAAACUUGUUCAGAGAAGAGACGAGGACGACCAAGAAGGGGAAGAUCAAGAAAGGAAAGAUCUUUACCUUGCCUCAUUGCUAUGAAGUGUUGAAGGAUGAUGAGAAAUGGAGGAAGCGUGAAGAUUUGGAUGAUUUGCAUUUGAGCAACAAACGCAAGCGCACAAUUGAGUUGAAUGAUGAUGAUGAGGAGGAUGAUGCCUCAAGUGAGGACGGCAAGAGAAGCCCCACACCCAACUCGGUUUCAUACUCGAAACCAAAACGACCGGAUGGGUGCAAGAAGGACAAAACCGAAAAGAAGAAGAGGAAAGGAGAUGAUGAUCUCACAAAUGCUAUGGAAGCUAUUGUGAAGGCAAGAAAAGAAGCGAUCGAGGUGAGGAAGAUGGCAAGGAACCAAGAUGCCGCGGCCGAGGAGAGGAGGUUGGCGGCCGAGGAGAGGAGGGUGGCCGCCGAGGAGAGGAAAGUGGCAUUGGAGGAGAGGAAGGUUGCCAUGGAGGAGCGAACUAGGUUGUUGGAAUGGGAAAAAUACUUGUUCUUCGUGGACACAUCUUUGUUCAAUGAAGCGCAAAUGGAAUAUGUCAACCUUGCCCGUCAAGAAGUAUUGAUUCAAAAAAGAGCCAUGAUCAACACAAUGGGUAGCGGCAUGGGUGGCGGUGGCCUCGGCGGCAUGGGUGGCGGUGGCCUAGGCGGCAUGGGAGGCAUGGGCCUCGGCAUCAUUGGAGGCUUGGGUGGCUUCGGAGGCAUGGGUGCACCUCCGGCCGCCAUGGGAGGCAUGGGUGCACCUCCGGCCGCCAUGGGAGGCAUGGGUGGCUUUCGAGCACCCUCCAAUGCUAUGGGAGCCAUGGGUGGCUUUGGAGCACCCUCCAACGUUAUGGGAGGCAUGGGUGGCAUGAGUUUUGCUUCUCUCAUGGGAGGCAUGGGUGCACCUCCGGUCGCCAUGGGAGGCAUGGGUGCACCUCCGGCCAUGCCUUUCGAUGUGCCUCACACACAUACCCGAGCAAAUGCCGUUGAAGAACUUGCCAAGACCGUCGGAGCUACAAGUGAUGCGGUGCGUGAUGAAGAGGAAGAUUCAUCGGCGGAAGAAGAGGAAGAAUCGUCGGCGGAAGAAGAGGAAGAAGACGAGCAAGAUGGUUGA
rnacentral:rRNA from 1 species